rnacentral:rRNA from 1 species
AUUGAACGCUGGCGGCAGGCCUAACACAUGCAAGUCGAACGAGUGGCGGACGGGUGAGUAAUGUCUGGGAAUCUGCCUGAUGGAGGGGGAUAACUACUGGACACUGUAGCUCAUACCGCAUACCAUCGGAUGUACCCAGAUGGGAUUAGCUAGUAGGUGGGGUAAAGGCUCACCUAGGCGACGCUCCCUAGCUGGUCUGAGAGGAUGACCAGCCACACUGGAACUGAGACACGGCCCAGACUCCGACGGGAGGCAGCAGUGGGGAAUAUUGCACAAUGGGCGCAAGCCUGAUACAGCCAUGCCGCGUGUAUGAAGAAGGCCUUCGGGUUGUAAAGUACUUUCAGCGGGGAGGCGUUACCCGCAGAAGAAGCACCGGCUAACUCCGUGCCAGCAGCCGCGGUAAUUC